GACGUAGGGGGCGAGCGUUGUCCGGAAUUAUUGGGCGUAAAGGGCUCGUAGGCGGUUUGUCGCGUCGGGAGUGAAAACCUUGGGCUUAACUCAGGGCUUGCUUUCGAUACGGGCAGACUAGAGGUAUGCAGGGGAGAACGGAAUUCCUGGUGUAGCGGUGAAAUGCGCAGAUAUCAGGAGGAACACCGGUGGCGAAGGCGGUUCUCUGGGAAUGUCCUGACGCUGAGGAGCGAAAGUGUGGGGAGCGAACAGG
rnacentral:rRNA from 1 species